GCGAGGGUGGCGGAAUUGGUAGACGCACUGGAUUUAGGUUCCAGCGGGGUAACCUGUGCGGGUUCGAGUCCCGCCCUUCGCACCA
rnacentral:tRNA from 1 species